rnacentral:rRNA from 1 species
UACGGAGGGUGCAAGCGUUGCUCGGAAUUAUUGGGCGUAAAGGGUAGGUAGGUGGUCUCAUUUGUCUGGGGUGAAAGCCUUGGGCUUAACCUCGAGAAGUGCCCCAGAAACGGUGAGACUGGAGUCCUGGAGAGGGUCGUGGAAUUCCCGGUGUAGCGGUGAAAUGCGUAGAGAUCGGGAGGAACACCAGAGGCGAAAGCGGCGACCUGGACAGGAACUGACACUCAACUACGAAAGCGUGGGGAGCAAACAGG